rnacentral:ribozyme from 1 species
AUCUGUCGAUAUAGGCAGAUAAUGUAAUGCAGCCAAUGGCCGGUUACAAGCCCGGGAAAAUGCAGAGUACAUU